AUGAACGCUAGCGACAGGCUUAACACAUGCAAGUCGAGGGGUAACAGGGUAGCAAUACCGCUGACGACCGGCGCACGGGUGAGUAACGCGUAUGCAACCUGCCUAUAACUGGGGAAUAGCUCCCUGAAAGGGGAAUUAACACCGCAUAACACUAUUGAUUCGCAUGGAUUUGUAGUUAAAUGUAGCGAUACAGGUUAUAGAUGGGCAUGCGUGACAUUAGCUAGUUGGUGAGGUAACGGCUCACCAAGGCUACGAUGUCUAGGGGUUCUGAGAGGAAGGUCCCCCACACUGGUACUGAGACACGGACCAGACUCCUACGGGAGGCAGCAGUGAGGAAUAUUGGUCAAUGGGCGCAAGCCUGAACCAGCCAUGUCGCGUGCAGGAAGACUGCCCUAUGGGUUGUAAACUGCUUUUAUAGUAGAAGAAACACAUCUACGUGUAGAUGUCUGCCAGUAUACUAUGAAUAAGCAUCGGCUAACUCCGUGCCAGCAGCGGC
rnacentral:rRNA from 1 species